rnacentral:lncRNA from 1 species
UGUAGGACAUUAUUUGGGAGGUUAAACUGGCCUAGGCAUGCAUGGAACAACUGGUUUAAUUUGAGACGUAAAGUGAUGAGCCUUGCUUUCUGAAUUUUUGAAUACGGGUUUUCAUUAAUGUCUUGAUGAAUAAUUAAUAAAACAGUUGCAUGCAUCAUUCUGAUGCAGAGAUCGGCGGGCAUUCUCUUUUUGAAAAAAAAUAAAGAGCAGUGGAGCCAGUUUGAUGCACUCGGGCACAUGGCCCCCUCCAUAAUAGAGUUGCUUGAUGAAAAUCAUGAAAGUAGUUAGCUAGUCAUGGUGC